rnacentral:rRNA from 1 species
AGGACGAACGCUGGCGGCGUGCCUAACACAUGCAAGUCGAACGCGCUCCAUUCGGUAGCAAUACUGAUGAAGAGCGAGUGGCGAACGGGUGAGUAGCACGUGAGCAACCUGCCCCGAAGACUGGGACAACACCGGGAAACCGGUGCUAAUACCGGAUAUCCCUAUUGGAUCGCAUGAUCCGAUAAGGAAAUGUUUUUCGCUUCGGGAGGGGCUCGCGGCCUAUCAGCUAGUUGGUGGGGUAACGGCCCACCAAGGCAUCGACGGGUAGCUGGUCUGAGAGGACGAUCAGCCACACUGGGACUGAGACACGGCCCAGACUCCUACGGGAGGCAGCAGUGGGGAAUCUUGCGCAAUGGGCGAAAGCCUGACGCAGCAACGCCGCGUGGAGGACGAAGGCUUUCUGAGUUGUAAACUCCUUUCAGCAGGGACGAUUGUGACGGUACCUGCAGAAGAGCACCGGCAACUACGUGCCAGCAGCCG